rnacentral:rRNA from 1 species
GACGAACGCUGGCGGCGUGCUUAACACAUGCAAGUCGAACGGAAAGGCCCUGCUUUUGUGGGGUGCUCGAGUGGCGAACGGGUGAGUAACACGUGAGUAACCUGCCCUUGACUUUGGGAUAACUUCAGGAAACUGGGGCUAAUACCGGAUAGGAUCUCCUGCUGCAUGGAGGGGGUUGGAACGUUUCGGCGGUUGGGGAUGGACUCGCGGCUUAUCAGCUUGUUGGUGGGGUAGUUGCUUACCAAGGCUUUGACUGGUACCCGGCCUGGGAGGGUGACCAGCCACAUUGGGACUGAGAUACGGACCAGAGUCCUACGGGAGGCAGUAGGGGCGAGUCUUGCACAAUGGGCGGGAGCCUGAUGCAGCAACGCCGCGUGCGGGAUGACGGCCUUCGGGUAGUAAACCGCUUUCGCCUGUGACGAAGCGGGAGUGACGGUAAUGAGUAAAGAAGCACCGGCUAACUACGUG